rnacentral:misc_RNA from 1 species
UUGUAAGAGUCUUUAUGACCCUUUGGCAGUUUUGCGAAGGGUGCAUGUAGCAGUCCUUCUAUUGUAAGGAUGGGUCUUAUGCAAUGGAAAUCUACGAACCGUGUCAGGUCGGGAACGAAGCAGCACUAAGUAGAACCUUUCAUGUGUUGUAAGGUCGCCUGUCUUUACGGGAAGUCAACGUGCAUGUAUCCUUCCCAGAACUGCCUUUUUAA